rfam:Oryza glumipatula chromosome 4, whole genome shotgun sequence.
AUCCAUUGCAACCAUGAGUUUCCGUGUCUAACUUUAAUCAUUCGUCUUAUUUGAAAUUUUUUAUAAUUAAUAUUUUUAUUGUUAUGAGAUGAUAAAACAUGAAUAGUACUUUAUGUGUGACUUAUGUUUUUAAAAUUUUUUUCAAAUAAGAUAGACGAUCAAAAUUGAGCACGAAAAAGUAUGGCUGCACUUAGA